rnacentral:rRNA from 1 species
AAACCGUAGUCGAUGGGAAACUGGUUAAUAUGCCAGCACCGUUGUGAAUUGCGAUGGGUUGACGGAGAAGGCUAGGUGUACCGGGCGUUGGUUGUCCCGGGGAAAGCCGGUAGGUGGUGAUCUUAGGCAAAUCCGGGAUCACAUACACCGAGCACCGAGACGAGUCCAUGUGGACGAAGUCACUGAGGCCACGCUUCCAGGAAAAACCUCUAAGCUUCAGAUCACAACGACCGUACCGUAAUCCGACACAGGUAGGCAGGGUGAGAAUCCUCAGGCGCUUGAGAGAACUCGGGUGAAGGAACUAGGCAACAUAGCACCGUAACUUCGGGAGAAGGUGCGCCCUUUUUGGUGGCUCCGUGCGGAGCUGGGCUAAAGAGGGCCGCAGUGACCAGGCCGCUGCGACUGUUUAUCAAAAACACAGCACUCUGCAAACACGAAAGUGGACGUAUAGGGUGUGACGCCUGCCCGGUGCCGGAAGGUUAAUUGAUGGGGUUAGGGAAACCGAAGCUCUUGAUCGAAGCCCCGGUAAACGGCGGCCGUAACUAUAACGGUCCUAAGGUAGCGAAAUUCCUUGUCGGGUAAGUUCCGACCUGCACGAAUGGCGUAACGACAGCGGCGCUGUCUCCACCCGAGACUCAGUGAAAUUGAAAUCGCUGUGAAGAUGCAGCGUUCCCGCGGCAAGACGGAAAGACCCCGUGAACCUUUACUAUAGCUUUACACUGAACGUUGAGUUCUUCUGUGUAGGAUAGGUGGGAGGCUACGAAGCAUGGACGCCAGUCUGUGUGGAGCCAUCCUUGAAAUACCACCCUGAAGUGCUUGACGUUCUAACCUAGGUCCGUAAUCCGGAUCAGGGACCGUGUAUGGUGGGUAGUUUGACUGGGGCGGUCUCCUCCCAAAGAGUAACGGAGGAGCACGAAGGUGCGCUCAGCACGGUCGGACAUCGUGCAGUGUGUGUAAAGGCAUAAGCGCGCUUGACUGCGAGAUCGACGGAUCAAGCAGGUACGAAAGUAGGUCUUAGUGAUCCGGUGGUUCUGUAUGGAAGGGCCAUCGCUCAACGGAUAAAAGGUACUCCGGGGAUAACAGGCUGAUACCGCCCAAGAGUUCAUAUCGACGGCGGUGUUUGGCACCUCGAUGUCGGCUCAUCACAUCCUGGGGCUGUAGUCGGUCCCAAGGGUAUGGCUGUUCGCCAUUUAAAGUGGUACGCGAGCUGGGUUCAGAACGUCGUGAGACAGUUCGGUCCCUAUCUGUCGUGGGCGUUGGAGAUUUGAGAGGGGCUGCUCCUAGUACGAGAGGACCGGAGUGGACGUACCCCUGGUGUUCCGGUUGUCACGCCAGUGGCAUUGCCGGGUAGCUAUGUACGGAAACGAUAACCGCUGAAAGCAUCUAAGCGGGAAGCGCGCCUCAAGAUGAGAUCUCCCGGAGCUUUAAGCUCCCUAAAGGAACGAUGAAGACUACGUCGUUGAUAGGCGCGGUGUGUAAGUGCAGCAAUGCAUUGAGCUUACGCGUACUAAUGAUCCGUGAGGCUUGAUC